CAGUCGCCGCGGUAAUACAGAGGGUGCGAGCGUUAAUCGGAUUUACUGGGCGUAAAGCGUGCGUAGGCGGCUUUUUAAGUCGGAUGUGAAAUCCCUGAGCUUAACUUAGGAAUUGCAUUCGAUACUGGGAAGCUAGAGUAUGGGAGAGGAUGGUAGAAUUCCAGGUGUAGCGGUGAAAUGCGUAGAGAUCUGGAGGAAUACCAAUGGCGAAGGCAGCCAUCUGGCCUAAUACUGACGCUGAGGUGCGAAAGCGUGGGGAGCAAACAGGAUUAGAUACCCGCGUAGUCCCUGUCUCUUAUAA
rnacentral:rRNA from 1 species